UUAAAUAUUCAUAAUUUUUUUUAGAUCAGAACAUUGUUACUAUACCUACUAUUAAAAGUUUAACAGAAUUGCAACUUACGAAAACUAAUAACGAAUGUGUAAAAGACAAUAAUCUAUGUACAACAGCAUCAACAAGUAAUGUUGCUUCCAAUGUUUGUAAAAAAGGGGAUACACUUGAAAAUUCUCAAGCUGCGUCUUGGAAAGAUGACUACGCUGUAAAAAAGCUAAUUCAUUUGUGGAAAACAAAUCAGUCACUAUUUAAAAGUCCCAAAAUUCGUAAUGAUGUAGUGUGGCGACAGAUAGCUAAAGAAUUACAGGAUUCAAAUUCCAAUUGGCUUUAUACAGGCACUCAAUGUGAAAAUAAAUUCAAAGAUA